rnacentral:lncRNA from 1 species
ACUUUCUACAGUGGUUCACUUGCCAGCAUUGUUUUAUUCUAAUAGUGCUAUAACGUUCUCUUUAUUGAAAACAUGAUCCACGUUGGUGAGUGAUCCGCCAAACCUGGUUUAACAGUAAUGGCAAUGCAGCAAGAAGAAAAGCGAACAAUAUUUCAUUGGUCAAUGUCUUACCUGUCAUUCUGUUGGUUAGGGAUUUUGACAUUUGACAGGGUUUUUUCACAACAAUUUCAACAGCCAGAGGAGAAAUCUGAGAGCUGAAGUUUGGCAAGCAUCCGGGCGUAGCCUGGACACGAGAAGAAGGAGUCAAACUGCAGCACAGGACAUUCGCAUCAACGGAAUAUAUGAGAGCAGACAAACUGCUUUGAGCAGGAGCAGAGCAAAUUAGCACGUGAGCCCUGUCCAUUUGAGCGAGUGGGCAGGGUUUUGAGGGAAAGCAUUUCAAAGGCUGAAGGUGAAUUGCAGUAAUCCUGCUUUUCAAAACGAAAGGCCACGCUCUUGGAUAAAGAUGGGAAAGAAACUCUUGGACAAAAGAACUUGCCACCUCCCACUCGCUCCUGGCUCUGUUUGGCAGAUGGAUCGCUGAUCGCAGGAAUGAGCAUCGACUGGACUUGAGCCGGAUGUUUGGGAAUGCUGGAAGGCCUUGUUAUUCAUCCCUCUGCACUGAGCAAGGAAAAAAGUUACGGAAAAAUCCACUGUCAGCCCAGCACCUGCCCAGCACCAGAUUGCGGACAGACAAAGGGACGAGCUACCGAUGAAGGUCAAAUGUCAAGAGCAACAAUUUUUUUCUCAGGAGUUUUUCUCAGAAAGCUAGGGAACAUUGGACUAAAAGGAAUAGUUGGUGGUUGGUAAAUACACAAUUUGCCUUUUUUGCCAAAAGUUAGAUGAAAAGAUUGUUACCACUCUCAUGUAUGGUAAAUAUGGAGAUACCGUUAGUGUAGCACAAACUUUUGCUGGCCUGACAGAGACAAAUCUGCCUGCUAGCACCAAUGAAGCUCAGUCGCUCAAUAAUAUGUUAAGUUGUUUGCAUAGUCGAUACAAAGACCAAGUGCAAAAAACAACAAAUGUUGUUCCUCAGCCAGCAUCUUGGUUGGGAGAAGUAACUUCCUGUUGUCGUGUUCACUGACUUGAGAGCAAUAGUGAUCUUCCCAAACUCUUAGCCACAAAGUAAAUAAGUGUAUUUCCCAAAUUGUCAUACAAUUCCUCUGACAUUCUUCAAGAAAGAAACCAGAAACACAUGCUCAAUGUCUGCUGGCUGUAUGAAUAUUACUAUGUUUGCCGAUGUUGCAUUUACUUGUCCUUCUUCUUCCAAGUUACAAAUGAAAAACCAAUGAAAGCAGCUUCAAAAGAAGUCAUUUAAUAUUAUUUUAAAUCAUCAUAUUACCAAUGAUGGACCCUAUACCUGAAAUGGUUUUUAUCCCUGUCUUGGUACAACUGCUUCCAAUGAAAGUUCUCCUCUUUCUCUUUACUUUCUCCUUUUUGACCACCCCUCCUUUUUUCCACAUCUUUAUAUUUUUCUGGUUUUCUUAGCCAUGCCCCUCAUUGCUCCUCCACCCAUUGCCCCUGCACAGCUCUUAAAGUCCUUUUGAACCUCCUCCAGCAUAUUCUUUUUCUGUUCUAAGCGAGAAACAUUUCCCGUCUCUCCUUUGAUACAACUUCUCCAGCUACUCAACAUAUUUUAUCAUCAAAGUCUUCAAAUGGACCUCCCUCUAACCAUCAUUCUCUCUUUGGUUUCUAUCAUGUCUUUCUGCUCCCUCACAUUUUCUUUUUCUUUUCAUUUUACCCCAACCCUUCCUGCCCCCAGUUGCGUGAGACGAAGAGAGGUAUAGUCUUUCGUCAAGCCUGCACAAGUGGAGGGAGGCGGG